CAGUUAUGGCUGGCGGUUUGCUGUCAAAAGUUAAGCUAUCUUUUCUUCGAAAAAAUCACCAAUUAUAGUGAAAUUUGAGUGAUUUCGUCUGUAACUUGUCGGUGAACCCGGUGAUGUGUUCAAUUCCGUGUGUAUUUUGGAUAACCUUAAUGUUUUUCAUAAACUCACAGUCUGAGGAAACGUGAAAGUCGUGCAGCCGACCGUCAACUAUUUUGUUCAAACUCAUUGUAUUCUACUGAAUGUGCCAUCGAAAUGAUACAGGUGACAACCAACACUAGCUUUAUUACAUGCUGAAACCUUAAUUCUUUAUUAGGAUUCAUCUUAAUUAUCGGCAGUUUCUAUUCCAAGACUUGCUAGAUCACCAACCCCAGCAUGGACCAAUCUCUCAUUCCAUCUUCUAGAGAACCUUGGAUAACUGAUCGAUGGUUUCAUGUAUAUAGCCUAUAAGACCAAAUGUCUGGUUUUUCACUCCAAAAUAAGGCAAUGACUACACGUUCAACGCGGAUUAUUCGUUUUGUCAUCGAACUUGACUCAUUCCAUCUUCUGGAUUGCUCAGGAAACCUGAUUUGCGUUACCUGUAUAACUUCAUUGUCAUGCCACUGAAUUUAACUUUCGGUUACAUUUUGUUUCUUGAUUUAGCCAUUUAGGUAAUGACCGAGAAGAUACGGCCUACAUGAACAUCAUUUAGGUGGUCAGCAUCAUUCGACUACCCAACCGACUUCUACUACCCUGCUCUCAACACAGCACGAAGUUUUACCCUUUAAAUUGUUGGCUGUUCGCAAUGUGUGAUGACGUUUCCUUGGACGAGAUGAUGAUUUUGGCGAGAAAAAUAUUGCGGACGAUUUCAUGCUGUCCUUUACCAUGGACCAAUCUCUAAUUCCAUCUUUUAGAUAACCUUGAAUCUGAUUGGCAGUGGUUUCAUGUGUUCCAAAUUACAGUUUUCUAAUUUGGCAUGAUAGCCUUUUUGAAAAGUAAUGUCCUUUCAAGAAAGACAACAAGGUCCCUUGUUUGCUAACCCAAUGGCUGCUACCCUUGAAUCUACCAUUUUACUUCCUUAAACGGGUCCUCUUGAUUUGAAGUAA